GAAUGUCCCACAGAUCUAGGCUGCAGGACGUUACUUUGCUGAAGAUACUUGGGCAGAAUAAAUGGAGAAUCAUCUUUUGCCAGCCUUGUUGUUAAUCCUAUGGCUUCAUCUUGUCCGAGUGAGCAGCGAACUGAAUGUGGAACAGAGUCCUCAGUCACUGCAUGUUCCGGAAGGAAAGAGCACCAACUUCACCUGCCGCUUCCCCACCAGCUCUUUCUAUGCUUUACACUGGUACAGGUGGGAACCUGCAAAAAGCCCCACCAUCCUGCUUGUAAUUAGCGUAAAUGGGGAUGUAAAGAAAAAAGGUCGAGUUACAAUUACUCUUAAUACUACAGAGGGUUACAGCUACUUGUACAUCAAAGGAUCCCAGCCCGAAGACACAGCCACAUACCUCUGUGCAUUUGGCACAGUGCUUUUAAGGCACCUGCAGCCCAUACUCAAACCUGGGUCUGGUGCUACUCGGGUCCCAGUGUUGAUGAAGAGCCCUGUGUGGGAUGAAAAAGGCAAAUUCAAUGGAUUGCAGUAUUUUCAAUAA